rnacentral:rRNA from 1 species
UACAGAGGUCUCAAGCGUUGUUCGGAUUCAUUGGGCGUAAAGGGUGCGUAGGCGGCGCGGUAAGUCGGGUGUGAAAUCUCGGGGCUUAACUCCGAAACUGCAUUCGAUACUGCCGUGCUUGAGGACUGGAGAGGAGACUGGAAUUUACGGUGUAGCGGUGAAAUGCGUAGAUAUUGGGAGGAACACCAGUGGCGAAAGCGACUUUCUGGGCCAUUCCUGACGCUGAGGUUCGAAAGCUCGGGGAGCAAACAGG